CAGGGCAAAAAAGUCAUACGCCGGCAAAUACGGUAAUUUUAAACUGUAAGAUUCCCCUUUAUCUAUUACUACCUUUCUUCUUUUUCCUGUAGUACACCUCAACCCCAGAACUUUUCAGAUUUAUAAGAUCUGCAAGAUCAAAAAAUCCCAUUGAACUUGUUUGAGAGCAAAUAGGUCUUAGAAAGGUAUUAAUAAUGCUAUUCUACAAAAAAAAACAAAAAAAAAAAACACCACCAAAACCCACAGAUAUUAUUCUCUGUGGUCUCAGCAGGUGAUGUGAUAAAGUUGAACCUCUCUAAUUACUUAGAUCAAUGAUCAACAGAAAGGAAAAGGGAAAUAAUAGAUAAUCAUAUAGAAAUCAGUGAGGAAGUGGUUGGCUUUCUUUUAAAAAAAAUUAAAGGUUUUUAUCCUGCUUUUUUAUAUUUAUAAAUCACUCAAGGCAUUGAACAUACAAAAUAGUCCUUCCUACUCCUAUAUUCCCACCAAUAGUCUUACAUGGUAACAUAGGUUGACAGCGAGCGAUUGGCCCAGAUCAUCCAGCCAACAUUCAUGUAUAAGCUUGGACUAGAUCUCACCAUCUCCCAGUUUCUAAUCUGGUGCCUUAACCAUUACAUCAAAUUGAUUCUUUUUUUUUUUUUUUUGCAUAUAAUCAAGCAAAUGCUGAAUCCAUCAGAAUGUUUCAUUUGGAUUCCUGCAGAAAAGAUUUUGUCUUUUUUGGCCUAAGUAGUCCCUGCUAAUUAUUUGACAUGGAUAAUGUCUAGGUUUGCCUUCUUUACAAGGGAAGAUCUCAGAAGAAAAAAAAUAGAGGUGAUGACUUUUUAAAAAUCACCAAAUAAUGUAAAUGCAUUAAAAAAUAAUAUCUCAGACUUCUUCAAUACAGAAUUGCAGAUCUUUAAAAUCAAUUUUGAGACUCCACUAGAUAUUUCAAGAGCAUAUUUUAUUAACUGCAUAGGUUAUUACAUAUAAUUAUGGAAGAUUACAAAUAAGAUACAAAUGCAGCAAAUCUCAAAGAUAUGUAAUUCAAAAUGAUAUUUAUUAGCAUUAAUUCCAUGAAAAUGUGAUUGUGAUUAAAAGACAAUUUGCUUGGAUUUCACACAAACCUUUAAAAGAUUUAGAAUUACUUAUAAAGUAAUAAGAAGCAAUAAGUAUUGGGCUCACCCAAAA